CGCAGACAACCCUCCCUCGCAGGUCUACACGGGCUACAAAGAAGUGCUGCUGUACUUCAACUCGAACGACGACAGGCAGAACCAAGGCUUCGUAGUCAAAUUCACGCCGAAGGACAAGAGGAAAUGGAUUUACUCCAAUGCUGAACUCGAACCGGAGUGCACGUGCGCGAACAACCUUCCCAACCAAAUCAGAAAGUUCUUCAGGCAAAGGAACAAGAACAAGAAGAACAAGAACAAGAACACGACCCUCCGCCGCGUAAAGAGAGAGGAAAAGAA